rnacentral:misc_RNA from 1 species
CACAUGCGUUGCUCCCCAUACAUGGCCUUUGUAUUUUAGUAGCAACAUUAUGAGUUGUUAAACACAGUCAAAAUAAAAAUACGAUGUGUUGCGAUGGCACAUUAUUCAUUGUGCAAUAUAUGUAUUUAAGCAAACAUGUAAAGUGAAUGUGCCAAAUGAAUAUUUAAAGAUGUCGUCUCUGAUAGUUCCGAACAAUUACCUUUAAGGUCAUUCUUUAUAUGCAUGUAUAAAGUUUUCAACAUUAUUAAGUACAGGAGAAUUACGUUAUUCCUCUCGUAAGCACAAGUACAUAAACUUUAAACGAUCAAUAGGAUUAAUAUAUAACAAUGUCUUGCAAUACAAUUUAUUUAUAAAAAACGAUUCUAGAUCAAAAUUUUUCUUUUUUCUCACGGAUUAAUCAUUACUGAAGGUGUGUGAUGUGGCAUCAAAAGCACCAACCAGUCACAAGUGUCCUCCCAUAUGUUGUAAAACUGAUUUCUGUAACGAUCAUUGUGGAACUGUUUCAAACAUAAUCAUGACGACAGAGCAUCCAUAAACAACACUUCAUGUUACGUUAGAGACACUUACUACUAAUGCAGCACAAACAAAGCACCCAGCUGUAAAUCUGUCAACAACACCAGCUCUCACAACACAAGGAUCUACGCACAACCGACCACAUAAAUCUACCAGCAGUGCACCCUUCCACUGUAGAAGUGACAAUCAUUACAUACAUUUACGGAAUGGGACCACGCACUUAUGUGUUCACAUUGUACAUAGUCACGUUACUUGGCAAAAUGCACGUCAUGCAUGCAAUCACGAAGGAGGGGAUCUUGUUGUCCUGGACACUGAAGCAAAAACGUUAUUAAUAAGAAAAAAACUUUCAGAGUCUGGUCACAGUGAAUCUUGGAUAGGGGCCCGAGACUUCCACCGAAACAAUAAUUUCCUAUGGACGAACAACCACCCAGUUGUUGGUUCCUUUGCAGAUUGGGCACACGGUCAACCCAAUCAUUUCCGCUACGGAUCUGAUCAAGAUCUUGUAUAAUCAUGGCUAAAAAUUUCAAGUGGCACGACAAAGAUUGUGACAAACAUCAUUUCUAUUACAUAUGUGAACGGAAAUAAAAGAUGUUAAAUUCUGUAUUUGUAAUUUCUUGAAUCCUAUAUUACCCCCAAACGUACAGUUGGCAAGGCUUAUCAAAAUUAUUAUUCAGAGUG